rnacentral:rRNA from 1 species
CCCUUAGAUGUUCUGGGCUGCACGCGUGCUACACUGAUAUUGCCAAUAUGUCAUUCUUAUCCGAAAUGGAUUGGGUAAUCAAGUAAUGAAAUUUCAUGCUUGGAAUCGGUAAUUGCAAUUUUAUCGUGAACGAGGAAUUCCUAGUAAGCACUAGUCAUCAGCUAAUGUUGAUUAUGUCCCUGCCCUUUGUACACACCGCCCGUCGCUACUACUGAUUGGGUGUUCAAGUGAGAUGCUUAGACCCUUGUUGCAUGGUUCAUUAUUGUGCUCCGAAAGGAACAAGUUUCAAGCUUGAGUGUCUAGAGGAAGUAAAAGUCGUAACA